rnacentral:rRNA from 1 species
UGGCGUAAACAAAGGGAAGCGAACACGUGAGUGCAAGCGAAUCCCAAAAAUAACGUCUCAGUUCGGAUUGUAGUCUGCAACUCGACUACAUGAAGCUGGAAUCGCUAGUAAUCGCGGAUCAGAAUGCCGCGGUGAAUACGUUCCCGGGCCUUGUACACACCGCCCGUCAUACCAUGGGAGUCAGUAACGCCCGAAGCCGGUGACCUAACCGAAAGGGAGGAGCCGUCGAAGGUGGGACCGAUAACUGGGGUGAAGUCGUAACAAGGUACC